rnacentral:rRNA from 1 species
GAUGAACGCUGACAGAAUGCUUAACACAUGCAAGUCUUUGGCGAAGCUGUGCUUGCACAGCCCAGCCCAAGGCGGACGGGUGAGUAACGCGUAAGGGACUUGCCCUGCAGUCAGGGAUAACAGACGGAAACGACUGAUAAAACCUGGUAAAGUCAGGCGGACUCAUGUCCAGCCUGAUGAAAAGGAAUGCUGCAGGAGAGCCUUGCGUCCUAUUAGCUUGUUGGUGGGGUAACGGCCCACCAAGGCGAUGAUAGGUAGCCGGCCUGAGAGGGUGGACGGCCACAAGGGGACUGAGAUACGGCCCUUACUCCUACGGGAGGCGGCAGUGGGGAAUAUUGGACAAUGGGGGCAACCCUGAUCCAGCAAUUCUGUGUGCACGAUGAAGGUCUUCGGAUUGUAAAGUGCUUUCAGCAGGGAAGAAAAAAAUGACGGUACCUGCAGAAGAAGCGACGGCUAAAUACGUGCCAGCAGCCGCGGUAAUACGUAUGUCGCGAGCGUUAUCCGGAAUUAUUGGGCAUAAAGGGCAUCUAGGCGGCCGGAUAAGUCUGGGGUGAAAACUUGCGGCUCAACCGCAAGCCUGCCCUGGAAACUAUGCGGCUAGAGUGCUGGAGAGGUGGACGGAACUGCACGAGUAGAGGUGAAAUUCGUAGAUAUGUGCAGGAAUGCCGAUGAUGAAGAUAGUUCACUGGACGGCAACUGACGCUGAAGUGCGAAAGCUAGGGGAGCAAACAGG